rnacentral:lncRNA from 1 species
GAAAAUCACUUUCGCAUGAGGAAAUACUUUACAAGUUCAAAAUCACAAACAUUCCAGCCAAGUGCAUUUAACAUUUAAAAGCAAAAGGAUAUUAAAUUAUUGAACUCUCAAAGAUCAAACCUAAUGUAGAUAAAUUUAGGAUAACUACAGAGUUCUAGACCUCUACCCUAUAUUCUUCUUGAUAAAACAAACAUCCUUAUUGUUACCUAGUAAUAACUCUAAAUGAUCUAAGGCCCAGCUCUUAUAAACAAACAAAUAGUCACAACAAAUACACAAGUAAAUAUUAGUCAGUAAGGAUAAACCAAAAUAAGUUAAAAUAAUGUAAUAAAGCUUCUAUCCAAUUGCCAGGAUGAUAAAUCUCCCCAAGUCUCGCUAUUCAACGGGACGAAUAAAGGUAUGAGGGUGCACUUCGGCAGCGACGUGGAGUCUAACUUUGAGACUCUUUGGCUCCGGUGUGUGUAACAUGCAAAGAAAAAAAAUAAAAGAAUAAAAUUAGCAGAGGUCUUAAAUCUUCAACAAGCAUGAAGAAAAUGAAACAAUGAAGCUAGGCAAAGACAAGAUUGCAUUGAGUGUGUGUCCCGAGUAUUAUAGAGACAAGGAACAGAUCUCAAAAACUUCAAAUAAGAUACAUAUUGCAAGGAAAUAAUGCUUUUAUAAAACUUAUGAGCGUAAUAUUUACCUAGUAUAUAUACUUGUAAGGAACUAGGAAUGGGGAAUACUUUUAAAUAUAUGUGUCACUUUAACAUGCUUCCAAUCAGUUGGGUCAAGCUACUGCUACUCCAUAAGUAAUAUUUAAUUAAUUAAUUUAAACAGUAACAAAAUCUCUUAACAAGAUCCAUGUUCACAUACUAUUUAAAACAGUGAGUUAGUUUCUUAAACAAUAUUUAAGCAGAGUACUUCUUCCAUAUGACAAUUAAAUAAGUAAAUAGUGGCUAAUCAAUAAAAAUUCAUGGCCUACAAACAUGGUUCUUAACUAGCUGAAAACGACAUAUUACCUAAAGGUUUAAUAAUAGGAUGUACUAUGAGCAAAUUCCAUACGCAGGUUCAUAUGAGAAUUUAGUCAAACACAUGCCAUUCUUAUUCAAACUUUCUAUUGUCAGAAUACGCAAUGAACCACAAAUCAUGAUUUUUCAAUAAAAUAAUUCAUAAAGCAUGAUUUCUUCAUAGAAAGCAAGUCACAUUCUUAAGCAAUCAUUUAUUAUGGAACUCAAAAAAUAUAAAUAAAAAAAAAGGAGAAGGAAAUUUUAAAGCUAUCGGACCUGCUUGGGGACAGUGAACCGAUGGCGGCAUCAAGAAGAUCUACUAUCACCAGAUAAAAACCCUUUUAUUUUGGGGUAAAAGUGCGGAUAAAAACACUUUUAAAAAUGAGUUUCAAAGAAGAUAUUUAUAGAUAGAAGUUAGGGUUCUUGAGCAGGAUUUUUAAAUUCAGAUUUGCAUUUUGUGCCAACACACCCGUUUGAAUUUGAAACGCUUGGGGAUUUUGGACAGAAUUUGCAGACUUCACGUGAUUCUUCAUAACCUGAAAUGGUGGAUAUGCUCUUGUACAUAGGAGUUUGAAAGUUGAGAAUUGGCUAAAGAAAUGGAGGAAAAGUCAAGAUGAAAGGAAAAGGAGAUAAGGAUUGAAAAUGAUGGAAAGGGAAG